ACACGUAGGGGGCGAGCGUUGUUCGGAAUUACUGGGCGUAAAGGGCAUGUAGGCGGUCUUGUAAGCCUGACGUGAAAGGCUAUGGCUUAACCAUGGCAUUGCGUUGGGAACUGCGGGACUUGAAUCACGGAGGGGGGAACUGGAAUUCCAGGUGUAGGGGUGAAAUCUGUAGAUAUCUGGAAGAACACCAGUGGCGAAGGCGAGUUCCUGGCCGAUGAUUGACGCUGAGGUGCGAAAGUGUGGGGAUC
rnacentral:rRNA from 1 species